UGGGGAAUAUUGGACAAUGGGCGAAAGCCUGAUCCAGCCAUGCCGCGUGUGUGAAGAAAGUCUUCGGGUUGUAAAGCACUUUAAGUUGGGAGGAAGGGCAGUAAGCGAAUACCUUGCUGUUUUGACGUUACCGACAGAAUAAGCACCGGCUAACUCUGUGCCAGCAGCCGCGGUAAUACAGAGGGUGCAAGCGUUAAUCGGAAUUACUGGGCGUAAAGCGCGCGUAGGUGGUUCGUUAAGUUGAAUGUGAAAGCCCCGGGCUCAACCUGGGAACUGCAUCCAAAACUGGCGAGCUAGAGUAGGGCAGAGGGUGGUGGAAUUUCCUGUGUAGCGGUGAAAUGCGUAGAUAUAGGAAGGAACACCAGUGGCGAAGGCGACCACCUGGGCUCAUACUGACACUGAGGUGCGAAAGCGUGGGGAGCAAACAGG
rnacentral:rRNA from 1 species